rnacentral:misc_RNA from 1 species
UGCGCACGGUAAGCGGCGCACUGCCUUGUUCGAAGGACUUAGCAGGGACACGGCUAGCUGAAGCGGCGAGGACACACGCAGAGCUGUGACUGCUUUCGAUGGAUGGGAAUGUAUGCGAGCCCGCACAUGCGCUGCUUCCACUAGAGCCGACCCCCGCUAAUGGAAAAGGCAAGAAAGGUGGACUGUUGGCAGCGCCAAUGCCUCCGAAGGAUGCGAAUGCAUCACGGGAGCUGCCCCUCUGCUGCCCUAUGAUUGGCAUGUGUGAUGGUAAUGCUGUUCGUGUCCGGAACGAAGCGAAGGGUGGUCUCGUGCAACGUGCAGAGACGCCACGGUCGUUGCUCGUGUUCGCGCCGCCUCUACAGCGGAAGCACUGCUCUUGGCGAGGUUCAAGUUCACUCACCCUUCUGCGCAGUAAUUCAACACAGGGCACUCGCACUCGCGGUCCCUUCUGCCCUUCUCUUCCGAACCCUCCUGUGAUGAACUGCUUCUCUUUGAACUUUCAUAGAUCCUUUCGUGCUUCCUCUCGCCUUCGAAUACCCCUGCUAAG